UGAUGCCUCUCCUGGCAGUACUACGAAACGCCUUUCAGAUUUCUCAAUAGGGCGGUUACGACAUGGUUACCGUUAUUUACAAUGUACGGAUAGUUUGAUUAAUCGCUUGAAUCUGCCCAAGGAAAGAUGGAGCAAUCUAAUCUGAUCGACUCGUGAAAUUGAAGAGGAUGUUGUAAAAUAAAUAUUAUCAUUGUCCUCAUGAUCACACACUUGGAAGUGAACAUAACGGCCGAUUUAGUUUCUAUCGGAGUGUUCGACUAAUAUUAAUCGAAAAUGACGAUGAACGUGGUACAUUGGACUGGAUAUGAAAUGUAAUCGGACGAUGUAUUGCGAUCAUCGAAAUAUUAAGAAUUUCACUGUAUCAUCAUGAAUGGGACCACAGAUUCAUUUUACGCUCCCAAAGUUUAGUGUAGUAGCAAUCGUAAAAAAGAUUUGCUCUUAUCAAUCAGACAAAAGGUAAAUGCUGGAACAUUUUAAGAGUUUAGCUGAUCACCUGGGCCCUCGAUGUAACUUGUUAUCCAAUUAGGAAAGAUAGGAAAAAAAUCGAUUAUAACUUUUAGUUAAUGGAUACCCAUUAGUCGCAUUACGCUACCACUAUUCAAUUGCAGUAGUUCCGGAUACAGACCAUCUAAGAGAUGAGCAGUGCAGUAGCGUUAUCAGCGUAAUGUUGAUUUGCAUCCCAACCUGUGAACGUUGGUAUUAUGCGAACUAUUGUCGAUUUCGGUUAAAGCACCUCGCCAGAGCGCAAUCACCAUGUUUGAGGUGUCCAAUGCGUAAGUCAGAUCCGGUACUGGUCUAUUAGAUCGUUCGGCCAAUAGAACUGUCCAGCCAGUAUCGUUUCACUGUAAGAAUGUACCGCCAUAACGACUGUUGUCAUCCAAGCUAUUCUUGUGGUCCAAAACAACUUUGUCGCUUCUAUUGCACAGGGAUGACGCGUACUCCUACAACAGCAGCCAAUAUGGUGAAAAUUUGAAUGUUGUUUCUCUUUAGGUAUAACUCAGUACCAGUUUAUAUAAAUACAAUAAAUAGCAAUUUUCAUUUUUUCAUUCUACUGAAAUCUAGGCUAACAUUUGAAAAGGGUCUAUCUCCAAAACGUAAACAUUUAGAGUUUUCGAUUGAAGGAACUUGUGUAGUUUUCUGCACUGAAAUUGCACUUUUCUUGCAGAAGUGUUGUCAAAACACCGACACCAUGUUCCAUUGAUAGGAACUGCAAUAAAAAAGUGCAAUUCCAGUGCAAUUUCAGGGCAGAGAUUUGGCACCGAAAAAAUUGUCGGUGGAGCCCGAGAUGCAUUAUAGUAUAGGUGUUCACAUUCGUCAAGUUUGAGUGUGUUGGUUUGUUGCUAGUGAAAUUAAUCAUGGCGGCCCAGGACCGCGAAGCACAUAAUCAACAAACCGACCAAUCGAAACGAAGCUUGUAAGCACGUGGUAAAAAUAAGUAUGGCGUCCGGGAUCGCAAAAGAGCAAAUGUUUACAUAUCUAACCAAUCAGAAUGAAGUAUGAGACCACGUGCUUCUGUUUUCUUCUUCAUUCUUCUUGUUUGCCCGAAAAAAGUGACAGAUGAUGCACACAUAGAAAAAAAAUGUGUACACCUGUAUACACCUCGGGUGGAGCCAGUGCACUCACCAACACAGACCAACACCAAUCACGCAAACGUCAAAGCAACGUUCAAAAUGGAUGCGUAAACAAAUCGGCUAUCGCAGAAAAGGACAGGAAUAGUAUCCUUCUGCCGGAAUUGCAUUUGAUACUCAUUGGUUUGCGAGUUUUCGACUUCAAUUCUGUCUUGACUAGAGGUAUGCGUUUUAUUGAUUAGUAGUUCAGUGUGAACCAAAAAAAGAAACCAUCGAACAACAGACGAAACCAUUGCCCGUUACCACUAUCAACGGAAAGGAUUACCAGGUUUGGAAAUAGCUCGGUUCGGGUGGCUUCAGUUCAGUGUUUUCGGCCAAACAAAUGGGGACGGGCGUUGAAGUUGACGAAUCUCGAAGGCGCUUCCAGGAUAGUAGAAGGUUACUUAAACGAAAUGAAACUGUUGGCGAAAUUGCAAAGGAAUGAAAAUGUAGUAGCGCUGUUACACGUAUGAUUUGCCAUGUUCCGGAGUCUAUACAAAUUUACCUGGUAAUGGAAAAGGGUGAUGAUAAUCUGCACAAACUCCUGCAAAGCUACCGCAAGGAUAUCCCGCUGUACACGCUCAUGCAAAUUUGGUACCAGAUGGUACAGUGUGUGAAUUACAUUCACGAGCACGAUGUCAUCCAUCUGGAUCUCAAACUGGCUAACUUUCUGAUGGUAGAAGGUCGUCUGAAACUGAUUGAUUUUGGCAUCACCAGCAACGUCUCCACCAGUAUUACGAAGUUUUCCAAGUGGGCACAUUCAACUACAUCAGUCCGGAUGCUCUGAUUGCUUGACUACGCGUUUGACCGAUUGGGAAAUAAAG